rnacentral:rRNA from 1 species
UGGGGAAUUUUGCGCAAUGGGCGAAAGCCUGACGCAGCAACGCCGCGUGAGUGAUGAAGGUUUUCGGAUCGUAAAGCUCUGUCAGAGGGGAAGAAACUCCCGGGCGCUAAUACCGCCUGGGCUUGACGGUACCCUCAAAGGAAGCACCGGCUAACUCCGUGCCAGCAGCCGCGGUAAUACGGAGGGUGCAAGCGUUGUUCGGAAUUAUUGGGCGUAAAGCGCGUGUAGGCGGUUGUUUAAGUCUGAUGUGAAAGCCCCGGGCUCAACCCGGGAAGUGCAUUGGAAACUGGGCAACUUGAGUACGGGAGAGGGAAGUGGAAUUUCGAGUGUAGGGGUGAAAUCCGUAGAUAUUCGAAGGAACACCGGUGGCGAAGGCGGCUUCCUG